rnacentral:rRNA from 1 species
UACGUAGGUCCCGAGCGUUGUCCGGAUUAAUUGGGCGUAAAGCGAGCGCAGGCGGUUUGAUAAGUCUGAAGUUAAAGGCUGUGGCUCAACCAUAGUUCGCUUUGGAAACUGUCAAACUUGAGUGCAGAAGGGGAGAGUGGAAUUCCAUGUGUAGCGGUGAAAUGCGUAGAUAUAUGGAGGAACACCGGUGGCGAAAGCGGCUCUCUGGUCUGUAACUGACGCUGAGGCUCGAAAGCGUGGGGAGCGAACAGG